ensembl:lncRNA
AAACGCGUUUAAACCGAACUCUUCCCGUCUUCUUCAAGUUUUUCCCAAAUUGAGGUAAACGUCAACGAAUCUUAAUCGAAUUUAACCUACAUGGAUAAAAAUAUAAACCAUGGAAAAACAUUGCUUGGAUCUUGUUCCCUGGACCUUGGACUUUUGGUGUGGAUGAUCAGGGCCUACCAAAGCAAUGUUUCUCAAACAACUGUGGGGUGUUUGUUUUGAUGUAUGCUCUGUACAUUUCAAUUGAAGCACAGUGUGAUUUCACUGAGAGGUUGAAAGAUCCAAAAAGGCGGUGAAAACACAAUACAGGGUGAUGUAGAUUCCCCCCCCAAGAAGUCACAUCAGCAUCCAGCUCUGCAGGAUCAGACGAUACUGAAAACAAAAUGCACUGGGGGCUGUGAACUGGGAAGCAGCUGUUCUUCUAAGGAACACCCUAGAGGCAGCAAGGUGGCGCGAACUCUGAACAUUUAAAGGCACUGUUUCCCUCCCCCUAGUGUAAUUGGGAUGGAUGGGGAAGACUGCAUUUACAACCCUUAAAGAACUAUGGUUGUAUGAUGGCCAGGAUGAAGAGGAAACUUAAUAUCCUCAAGGAACCAUUCAUGUUACAGAGAGAUUAUGAGAUGUUUGAUUUAUUUAUUUUUUAUUUUACCUUUAUUUAACCAGGUAGGCAAGUUGAGAACAAGUUCUCAUUUACAAUUGCGACCUGGCCAAGAUAAAGCAAAGCAGUUCGACAGAUACAACGACACAGAGUUACACAUGGAGUAAAACAAACAUACAGUCAAUAACACAGUAUAAACAAGUCUAUAUACAACGUGAGCAAAUGAGGUGAGAAUGGAGGUAAAGGCAAAAAAGGCCAUGGUGGCAAAGUAAAUACAAUAUAGCAAGUAAAACACUGGAAUGGUAGUUUUGCAAUGGAAGAAUGUGCAAAGUAGAAAUAAAAAUAAUGGGGUGCAAAGGAGCAAAAUAAAUUUAAAAUUAAAUACAGUUGGGAAAGAGGUAGUUGUUUGGGCUAAAUUAUAGGUGGGCUAUGUACAGGUGCAGUAAUCUGUGAGCUGCUCUGACAGUUGGUGCGUAAAGCUAGUGCGGGAGAUAAGUGUUUCCAGUUUCAGAGAUUUUUGUAGUUCGUUCCAGUCAUUGGCAGCAGAGAACUGGAAGGAGAGGCGGCCAAAGAAAGAAUUGGUUUUGGG